rnacentral:snRNA from 1 species
GUGACCACAUAAAAAUGCGGCAGUACAUAUACUAAAAUUGGAACAAUACAGAGAAGAUUAGCAUGGCCCCGGGCAAGGAUGACACGCAAAUUCGUGAAGCGUUCCAUAUUUUU